ACUGACAGCCAUGGUUACCGCGGCUGCUGGCACGGAGUUAGCCGGUGCUUCUUCUGUGAGUGAUGUCCUUCCUGCCGGCUAUUAACCCGCAGGCCUUCUUCCUCACUGAAAGUGCUUUACAACCCGAAGGCCUUCUUCACACACGCGGCAUGGCUGGAUCAGGGUUGCCCCCAUUGUCCAAUAUUCCCCACUGCUGCCUCCCGUAGGAGUCUGGGCCGUGUCUCAGUCCCAGUGUGGCUGAUCAUCCUCUCAGACCAGCUACGGAUCGUCGCCUUGGUGAGCCGUUACCUCACCAACCAGCUAAUCCGACAUAGGCUCAUCCGAUAGCGCGAGGCCCGAAGGUCCCCCGCUUUCCCCCGUAGGGCGUAUGCGGUAUUAGCCUGGGUUUCCCCAGGUUAUCCCCCACUACCGGGCAGAUUCCUAUGCAUUACUCACCCGUCCGCCGCUCGCCACCAGGGAGCAAGCUCCCCGUGCUGCCGCUCGCUUGCAUGUGUUAGGCCUGCCGCCAGCGUUCAAU
rnacentral:rRNA from 1 species